rnacentral:rRNA from 1 species
CUUAACCUGGGAACUGCAUUCGAUACUGCUUGACUAGAGUGUGGUAGAGGGAAGUGGAAUUCCGCAUGUAGCGGUGAAAUGCGUAGAGAUGCGGAGGAACACCAAUGGCGAAGGCAACUUCCUGGACCAACACUGACACUGAGGUGCGAAAGCGUGGGUAGCAAACAGGAUUAGAUACCCUGGUAGUCCACGCCGUAAACGAUGUCAACUAGCCGUUGGGGGCGUUUGGCCCCUAGUGGCGCAGCUAACGCGAUAAGUUGACCGCCUGGGGAGUACGGCCGCAAGGUUAAAACUCAAAGGAAUUGACGGGGGCCCGCACAAGCGGUGGAGCAUGUGGUUUAAUUCGAUGCAACGCGAAGAACCUUACCUGCCCUUGACAUCCUGGGAACUCUCUGGAGACAGAGAGGUGCCUUCGGGAACCC